CUAAGGAAAUCAGCCCUAGAUGGU
rnacentral:siRNA from 1 species